AAACACAGCAAGAGACGGAUAAAGAAGAUAUCUAUGGUACUAUA
rnacentral:guide_RNA from 1 species